GAUGAACGCUGGCGGCGUGCCUAAUACAUGCAAGUCGAGCGAACAGACAAGAAGCUUGUUCCCUUGACGUUUGCGGCGGACGGGUGAGUAACACGUGGAUACCCUAUCGUUAAGGCUGGGAUAACUUCGAGACACCGGAUCUAAUACCGGAUAAUAUAUUGAACCGUAUGAUUCAAUAGUGAAAGACGGUUUUGCUGUUACUUAUAGAUGGAUCCGCGUCGCAUUAGCUAGUUGGUAAGGUAACGGACUACCAAGGCAACGAUGCGUAGCCGACCUGAGAGGGUGAUCGGCCACACUGGAACUGAGACACGGUCCAGACUCCUACGGGAGGAAGCAGUAGGGAAUCUUGCGCAAUGGGCGAAAGCUUGACGGAGCAACGCCGCGUGAGUGAUGAAGGUCUUCGGAUCGUAAAACUCUGUUAUUAGGGAAGAACAAAUGUGUAAGUAACUAUGCACGUCUUGACGGUACCUAAUCAGAAAGCCACGGCUAACUACGUG
rnacentral:rRNA from 1 species